ACCAGCCAGCAAACCAUCCGCGUGCUGCUGGACGUCAUCCAGGACCUGGAGAAGAAGGAGGCCCAGCGGGACGGGCGACACUCGUACCGGACGGGGCAGGACAUCGCCAACUGCGGGACGUGCCGGGACUGUGCCUGCAUCAUCUACAGCGUGGAGCACGACUUUCGGCAGCAGGAGGGCCGCUUCCAGCGGGUGUUGAGCCACAUGGAGGGCGACGCAGCACACGGCAGCCCCACGCCGGGGCCCGUCCCCCCCGCCCGGCAGGAGCCUUCACCCCCUGCGAAGCUGGACGCCAAGAAAUCCCGGCGCAAGUGCUUCUGGUUCCUGUGAGCCCCAGCACUGACACCGGCUCCUGCCUCCUCUCCCUCCCUCCGACGUUAGGGUUUGGGUAGCACCAGCUUUUGUACUUUUAACCGUUCUGUUUAACGUACUGAAGAACCCGUGUAAAUAAGAGGGGAGGGGAGCAGCGGCUGUAUUUACGGAGAAACCAAUAAAUUCCAGGGAGAAG
rnacentral:lncRNA from 7 species